GAAUAUUGCGCAAUGGGCGAAAGCCUGACGCCGCGACGCCGCGUGUGGGAUGACGGCCUUCGGGUUGUAAACCACUGUCGGGAGGGACGAAGAUCUGACGGUACCUCCACAGGAAGCACCGGCUAACUCUGUGCCAGCAGCCGCGGUAAUACAGAGGGUGCGAGCGUUGUCCGGAAUCACUGGGCGUAAAGGGCGCGUAGGCGGCCCGAUAAGUAGGGGGUGAAAGCUUGCGGCUCAACCGCAAGGCUGCCUUCUAAACUGUCGGGCUGGAGCACGGUAGAGGCAGAUGGAAUUCCCGGUGUAGCGGUGGAAUGCGUAGAGAUCGGGAAGAACACCAGUGGCGAAGGCGGUCUGCUGGGCCGUUGCUGACGCUGAGGCGCGACAGCGUGGGGAGCAAACAGG
rnacentral:rRNA from 1 species